UCGAGCGUCAUUACAACCCUCAAGUCUAGUUACUUGUAGUUGGGCACUGCCAUCAGGCAUGCCUAAAAAUCAGCGACGGUAGCAGUUAACCUCAAGCGUACAGGCGUAAGCAUUCGCUAUGUUGGAAGAUUGAUGCCUGUCAACCCCCCAAAAUUCUAAGCAUUGACCUCGGAUCAGGUAGGAAUACCCGCUGAACUUAA
rnacentral:misc_RNA from 1 species